AGUCACUUCCUAGGGUUCGGUUCCAGGAGAUGAAGGAGAUGAUCGGAUUGCGUGAUGUGAAGUGAGUGCAGCAGAGAUUAAGGAGGUGAAUAUUAUGUUAACCUCGCUGCACCCAUGCUAAGUUCAGUUGUGUCAUGUUAUUUCAGCUAUCUCAUAAGCGUAUCUGUACGCAGUUUGUUUAAGACUUUAGCCAGAAACGUGCUUGGUUCACGUUGCGGCAGUGUGAGUCGUAGUGUAGACAGAGUCCUUGUUUACUUAGUCAAGUAAUCGUGCAAGGAUCUGGCCACGAUCUGUCCGUGGGAUGGCACGGAGAAAACGGAUCGUGAUCAGCGCAUUGU
rnacentral:lncRNA from 1 species